UACGUAGGGGGCAAGCGUUGUCCGGAUUCAUUGGGCGUAAAGGGUGCGUAGGCGGCGCGGUAAGUCGGGUGUGAAAUCUCGGAGCUUAACUCCGAAACUGCAUUCGAUACUGCUGUGCUUGAGGACUGGAGAGGAGACUGGAAUUUACGGUGUAGCGGUGAAAUGCGUAGAUAUCGUAAGGAAGACCAGUGGCGAAGGCGGGUCUCUGGACAGUUCCUGACGCUGAGGCACGAAGGUCAGGGGAGCAAACGGG
rnacentral:rRNA from 1 species